UCGCAAUUUGGUUUUGAAAUAUUAAUUAAUUGUAGUUUAAUAAAUCUCUUGCUAGUGAUACAACAAAUAAUAUUAAAAACCAUUAGCAAAUAAACGAAAGAAUGAUGGCGAACAAGUGCUUUAAAAAUGUGCAAAGCAGGCUCCUGAUGCUGGAUAAUGGUGCAUGGAAAAAUGGCAUAAGACCUCGGUUCUAUUUUGUUGGUUUUCGGAGCGCGAGGUAAUGAUUAAGAGGGACAAACGGGGGCAUUUGUACUGUGCCGUUAGAGGUGAAAUUCUUGGAUCGGCGCAAGACGAACGACUGCGAACGCAUUUGCCAAGAAUGGUUUCUUUAAACAAGA
rnacentral:ncRNA from 1 species